UAUUAUCCUUUCAUUUUUCAGCCGCAUACCCACUUCCCUUUCCCUCCCAUUUCACUUUUUCUGCAACAUAACUAUACGCACACAAGAUCAACUUUACCCACACCACCUCUACCCCCAUCUCGGUCUCCCUGCUCACUUGGAAGGCCCACCGACCACAACCCUUAGUGGCGGUGCCUUGCGGCUGCAAUGGAUAGACGGUGGAGUGGAAGGGGCUGUAGGUCUCAGAGAGAGAGAGAGAGAGAGAGACGCGAGGAGAGAGAUCGGGGAAUAGAGAGAUAUAUUAGAGAGAAGGUGACGACGGCGACAGCGGCGCCGUCGUCUACGCCGUCUUAGCGGCAGAGGUGGGGGUUUCACGAUGUUGAUGAUGACGUUUGAUGACGAUGGUGGUGUGCAGACAACGGCGGACUCACGGCGGCGUAUGUACAUCGGGAAUCGGGGUGGCGGUUCUGGUUUCGUGACACGACGGCAACAGUCGCACCGGCGACCACGGUUUUCAGGCUGUGAUGAUGACGGGAGCAGCAGUGUUGUCGGUGCUGCCUAGUUCGGGUUAUAUUACUGUUCGGGAUCGGUCAAGUGGGGUCAAACAUCAGGCUCGGGUCAACGGUCAACCGCGGUCAGAUUUGGUCAAACGGUCAGCUUCAGUUUCGGGCUCAGUCAACCCGGGUCAAACCCGGUUAACUCAGUUAACUCGGUUGACUCGGUCAACGCAGUUAACUCGGUCAAACCUGGUCAACUCAGUUGACUCUGUCAACACAGUCAAGCUAUUCGGCGAAUCGACACGAGAGAUUGAUAAAGAUUUAACAGUGCGCUUUAUAUCGUUUUUUAUAGUUAUUUUUAAUUAUGUAAAAUCGAGCUCGAACCGAACCGAAUAAUGGAAUCGCUAUACAAAAUUUAUUGGAUUUAUACA